UACGGAGGGUGCGAGCGUUAAUCGGAAUUACUGGGCGUAAAGCGCAUGUAGGCGGUUUGAUCAGUCGGAUGUGAAAUCCCCGGGCUUAACUUGGGAACUGCAUUUGAUACUGUCAGGCUAGAGUAGGCUAGAGGAAAGGGGAAUUCCGCGUGUAGCAGUGAAAUGCGUAGAUAUGCGGAGGAACACCAAUGGCGAAGGCACCUUUCUGGGGUCAUACUGACGCUAAGAUGCGAAAGCAUGGGGAUUAAACACGCUUAGAUUCC
rnacentral:rRNA from 1 species